rnacentral:tRNA from 1 species
UUUUAAAUAGUUUAUAAAAAACAUAAUAUUGAAGAUAUUAAAAUGAUUAUUAUCUUUAAAAU